UGGGUCCCAUCAUCCCAAUGGUGUGCGAAUUUUGACAUCAAGCAAUAAUCAUUAUAUCCAAGCAACCCAAAAGAAGAAGACUUUUAAGAAGAUUUGCGUCGAGUUUAAUACAAUUCACUUCCAAAUUUGGAAAUUUUGCCCUCUCCUCACUUGGUAAAUGGUAUGUUGAUGAUUUCUACUUCUUUAUAAUUUGAUAACUUAUUUAAAAGAAUUGUCUACUUUCGUGUCACCGUUGGGCCAG